GGAAAGGUGGCAGAGUGGUCUAUUGCGCACGCUUGGAAAGUGUGUUUCGUUAACGCGAACAGGAGUUCGAAUCUCCUCUUUUCCGCCA
rnacentral:tRNA from 1 species